AAGUCGUAACAAGGUUUCACAGUGAACAGAUAUUGAUCUUUCCUUAACGGUACACUUAUUGAAACCUUAGCAAACUAAGUAAAGAUGUUUACAUUAGUGACUGCACGACUCUAAAUAAUAGCGGUCUCUCGGUUCUUAAAUCAGGACGAUUUGGAAUUGAGAUGCUGGUUAGCUAUUCAUAGCUGGCAACAUCAUUAGUCUGCGGGAACAUUUUCCAAAAUAACCUGCAGCUAGUCCUCUGAAUACCAGAAGGCUGGUCCACAGACUAAAUAUUGGUGGGCAUUGUAAUGCGCAUUACAGUGUUUCAGAUAUAGCCGUGUCCUUGGAGUUAGUAGUCUCCGAGGAUUCUCUUGACAAUCACGUUCCGUAGGUGAACCUGCGGAAGGAUCAUUA
rnacentral:rRNA from 1 species